GCUGGGUGUGUUGGCACACACUUUUAAUUCCAGCAUUCUGAAGGCAGCGGCAGGUGGAUUUCCUGGCUUACAAGAACCUCAAAUUCAAUCAGUGUCCUGCUGUUCAAAGGUAUUUUGAAAUGUGCCAAAUCUUAAUUGAUGUGGAAGUGCCUGGAACCAGAGUUAAUACCUGGAGCGACGGGGAGCCCAAAUUAUGGAGGAACCCAGGAACCUGUGGCCGCUGGUGGCUACAGGUGGUGCCCGACGAGUGGCCUGAAAGCGGAAAGAAGGACUCGGGGUACACUGUUUUGGUGAGGCUCCACAGAAAACAGAAGAUGUAUUCUGCAUGGUAAGCAACAUACAGCAUUAAUGUUAGCGCUACAAAUUUCAUCUUUUGAAGACUGUUGAUCCCAAGGAUGCAACAAAAGGAUACAGGCUAGACUGAGUCAGUGUCGGUCCAAGGCUGAUAUCAGCUAGGGGUUGAUAGUGGAAAUGGGACUGGAAAAUUCUAAACAGGCAUUUGUCUGCA